ensembl:snRNA U6 U6 spliceosomal RNA
AUGCUCACUUUGGCAGCACAUACACUAAAAUUGGAACGAUACAGAGAAGAUUAGCCUGGCCCCUGUGCAAGGACAACACACAAACUCAUCAAGCGUUCCACAUUAUU